UACGAGUGCCCCAAGCGUUAUCCGGAAUCAUUGGGCGUAAAGGGUGUGUAGGCGGUUCUAUUAGUCUCCUGUCAAAUUCUUGGGCUCAACCCAAGGCUUGCGGGGGAAACGGUAGGGCUAGAGGAUGCGAGGGGUGAAUGGAACUCAUGGAGUAGGGGUGAAAUCCGUUGAUAUCAUGGGGAACACCAAAAGCGAAGGCAAUUCACUGGCGCAUUCCUGACGCUGAGACACGAAAGCGUGGGUAGCGAACGGG
rnacentral:misc_RNA from 1 species